rnacentral:tRNA from 2 species
GCUGAGGUAGGAUAGUGGUUAUUCUUCAAGCCUGUGGAGCUUGUGACUCGGGUUCAAAUCCCGGCCUCGGCCCCA